CUGGCGGCGUGCUUAACACAUGCAAGUCGAACGAUGAUGCCCAGCUUGCUGGGCGGAUUAGUGGCGAACGGGUGAGUAAUACGUGAGUAACCUGCCCUUGACUCUGGGAUAAGCCUGGGAAACUGGGUCUAAUACUGGAUACUACCUCUUACCGCAUGGUGGGUGGUGGAAAGGGUUUUACUGGUUUUGGAUGGGCUCACGGCCUAUCAGCUUGUUGGUGGGGUAAUGGCUCACCAAGGCGACGACGGGUAGCCGGCCUGAGAGGGUGACCGGCCACACUGGGACUGAGACACGGCCCAGACUCCUACGGGAGGCAGCAGUGGGGAAUAUUGCACAAUGGGCGGAAGCCUGAUGCAGCGACGCCGCGUGAGGGAUGACGGCCUUCGGGUUGUAAACCUCUUUCAGUAGGGAAGAAGCGAGAGUGACGGUACCUGCAGAAGAAGCGCCGGCUAACUACGUGCCAGCAGCCGCGGUA
rnacentral:rRNA from 1 species